UACGAAGGGGGCUAGCGUUGCUCGGAAUCACUGGGCGUAAAGCGCACGUAGGCGGAUUGUUAAGUCGGGGGUGAAAUCCCGAGGCUCAACCUCGGAACUGCCUUCGAUACUGGCGAUCUUCGAGUCCGGGAGAGGUGAGUGGAACUCCGAGUGUAGAGGUGAAAUUCGUAGAUAUUCGGAAGAACACCAGUGGCGAAGGCGGCUCACUGGCCCGGUACUGACGCUGAGAUACGAAAGCGUGGGGAGCAAACAGG
rnacentral:rRNA from 1 species